AACUGUGUUAACUGACAAUGGUUUUCUGAAGUGUUCCUGAGCCCACGUGGUAAGAUCCUUUACACAACCGGUUUUUAAUGCGGUGCUGCCCGAGGGAUCAAAGUUCACAGGCAUUCAUUGUUGGUUUUCAGCCUGGCCGCUUAUGUGUAGAAAGUUCUC